rnacentral:lncRNA from 1 species
GACUAAACUGCAGUCAAAACAGAAUUAACGAGCUGCAAGUGUAGUUUAAAAAACAUGGAGGGUCUGAACUACAAUUUGCGAAUCACGAGGGGGGCCAGAUUGGAAAUUAUUCCAUUCCCCAAAACGAAGCACAAUGACGCGGACUGAAAUGAGACAAUAUCAAAAUGCAGGGCAAAAAUAAUAAAAAAAAGAAAAAAAGGACCG